rnacentral:lncRNA from 1 species
UAAUUAGAACUCGGUAUUUGACUACUUUGAUUUAGGCCUUGAAUGAUAGCAGGGAGUUUAGCUCUCAAAAGAUCUUCUACUUGAGAUUGUAGAUUCACUUGGUGGUUGCUAAUUUGAGCUUCUAAAGACUCAAACCGAGAGGCCAACUCUUCAUUCUUUUUCUUCAACUCUUCAUUCUCCUUUUGCAAAUUGAGAUAAGUUUUUCUACAGGAAAUUGCAAUACAAGCGUGAACACGCCUUUUUCCAGAAAAAAAAUAGCAAAUUAUCAAAGAAACUAGAAAAUUACAAUACAAGCGCGAACACGCCUUUUUCCAAAAUAAAAGUAAUUAAACAACUAGCUCAAUAAACACAACAGCUAAAUUCUGGAGUCAAUAACAUUUAUUCCUUUAGGUUGCAAUGAAUAUAAUUUUGGAAUUCUCAAAUACUCUAAAUAGAGUAAUACACUAACAGCCCAUUCAUUUCACUAUAUAUAUAUAGGAUAUUAAUUUCAUAGAAUGAGACAUCUAGUACCCUAUGUGCCCAUCUCAACAUACUUCAUUUAAAUCUCUCUGCAUUUUUAUAAGAGCUUGUUAAAUUUACUCAAAGAAGACAAUGAACAUGAAACGCAUGCUAGCUUAUGGAUACAGAUUUUCUACGCAAUUCACAGCACAAUUUUAGAGAACAAGUAACAACAAACUAACACAGCCACCUUCUCGAGCAUGGACCUCAAGAAAGGAGAGUUCUCACUUUUUUAUGCAGAUGUAAGGGAACUAAAACAAAGAGAACUUCGGAAAGAAAAUCCCUCAUACCUUCUCUAAUUUAUUCACACCUUUCGCAUAUAUAUUCUUUCUUUUGCAGCAGAGCAAGACCAAACAUAUAGUGGACCUGAAAUGCAAAGGCAUCCAAAAUUACAAGUGUAUCAGAUUUUGUACGAAUACACUUUUAAUAGGAAAAAUAAAGUUGGUGUAUCUGAUGAUAAGUUUGUAGGUGAGAAGAAACACGUGGAAUACUUCGAAUCAAUCGGGCAUCUAAUUAGGAUGACUCCCCACAUCGACAACCAGAGGAUACUAAAGAAGAUUCUCCAUUUGAAGGAUGAUCAAUAACAAAAACAAACAACAAAGGUAGCUAGAUAUAUCUCUUCAUGAAAUCCCAAUAAAAUUAUACUAUAUAGAAUGUUUUUUCUAACACUAAUUUGAGAUGGCAAGCAACAUGAUCAGCAAAGUAAUACAUAAUCAAAUAACUUAUGCAAAAUUUGAGAAACAUAACAUUUACAUUGAAAUAUGAGCAUCAAGAACAUUAAUUACUAUUCAAGUUAUUGAAAAAAGUAUUAACAGUUGAAAAACCUCCAUCUCACCUCACCAUCAUCCACCGCCUAAUCUGUCAAAGUGGAAACAGCAAAAACAACUCCCAACAGACCCUCAAUAGCCAAAGUGAUGGCAUGUGCUUCACUAGCAACCAAGAUAGUAGUAUUU